ACCUGGUUGAUCCUGCCAGUAGUCAUAUGCUUGUCUCAAAGAUUAAGCCAUGCAUGUCUAAGUAUAAGCGUUUAUACUGUGAAACUGCGAAUGGCUCAUUAAAUCAGCAAUAGUUUCUUUGGUGGUGUUUACUACUCGGAUAACCGUAGUAAUUCUAGAGCUAAUACGUGCGUAAAUCCCGACUUCGGAAGGGACGUAUUUAUUAGAUAAAGACCGACCUCGUUCUGCGGUGAAUCAUAAUAACUUUACGGAUCGUUCGCUUCGGCGGCGAUGUUCCCUUCAAAUUUCUGCCCUAUCAACUU
rnacentral:rRNA from 14 species